rnacentral:rRNA from 1 species
CGCCCGGGCGCGCCCCGGGCGGGGCGGGGGCACGGGGGUUGGAGGGCAAGUCUGGUGCCAGCAGCCGCGGUAAUUCCAGCUCCAAUAGCGUAUAUUAAAGUUGUUGCCGUUAAAAAGCUCGUAGUUGAACCUUGGACCUGGCUGAUCUGUCCUCCUAAUCGAGCGCACGGAUUCGGUCGGGUCUUUCCUUCUGGGGAGCCCUAUGCCCUUCACUGGGUGUAGUGGGGAACCAGGACUUUUACCUUGAAAAAAUUAGAGUGUUCAAAGCAGGCCUUUGCUCGAAUACAUUAGCAUGGAAUAAUAGAAUAGGACAUCGGUUCUAUUUUGUUGGUUUCUAGGACCGCUGUAAUGAUUAAUAGGGAUAGUCGGGGGCGUCAGUAUUCAAUUGUCAGAGGUGAAAUUCUUGGAUUUAUUGAAGACUAACUACUGCGAAAGCAUUCGCCAAGGAUGUUUUCAUUAAUCAGUGAACGAAAGUUAGGGGAUCGAAGACGAUCAGAUACCGUCGUAGUCUUAACCAUAAACUAUGCCGACUAG